rnacentral:lncRNA from 1 species
GGAAAGGAUCUUAAAAGUCAUUUAAUCUACCCUCUCUUUUUACAGAUAAGGAAACUGAGGCUGAGAAGUUAGGUCAGCCAGUCAAGAAAAGUUUGUCAAGCAACUACAAGUUCCAGGUGCUGUGUCAAGUGUUAGUGAUGCAAAUAAGAAAGAGACAGUUCCUGCCCUGGAGGAGUUUACAAUCUAACAGAAGAAGAAAAUCCACAAAAAGAAGCUGAAUGGGGUUAAGAGAGAGAGGAAGGGACGGUGUCUUGGAGAAGUACCAGGGAAUGCAGCCUGGUGGGAGAUAAAGAGUUGGCUGGCCUGGGCACCCUCCUUAAAGGGAGGUUAGGUGACCAGCCUAUAUUCUCAAAACUAGGGAAGUGUCAGGGACAGGAUUUGAACCCAGUUUUUCCUGACUCACUGUCGCCAUGAUGUUGACCACACUGCCUCUGAUUUUUAGGGUCAUGCUCUAGAGCCUGAAGGGACCCUAAAGGUCAUCUAUUCUAAUUCCAUCAUUUUGCAGAACUCAGAGAUUGAUUGACGCAAGAACUUGGCAGAAAUCUCCAUCAGGUCCUGCGAUCCCAUCGCCUUUCAAGAGUUUUGUACUUUCCCACAAUGUUACGGUCACUGGAUCUUCUACCAAUUACUUCCUGUGUAACUUUGGGCAGCUCGCCCUUACCCUCUGGGUCUCAGUUUCCCCAUCUGUAACAGGAGGGGUGGAAGAGGUGAAAUUCUAUCAUAUUUGCUGAUUGAAUGAGGAAGGCAGCUGCCUUGUGGUCCAAUGCCUGGGAAGGGCGCUGUCUUUUUCUGUCUAGGAGCUGGGCCCCCGCUAGCUGGCUUUGAGCACCUCUGCCCUCGUGACAGGGGCUCUUCACACCUGCCUUCUCUCCUCACUGAGCAGCUGAGGGAGGACAGCCCCUUCCCCCACAGGAAGCCUGCCAAGGAGGGGAGAGGUGUGGAGCCAGCUGCUUCUGGGGCCUAACACCACCCAAGUGAUGGAGGCAGGGAGAAGAGGAUGAGAGAGAGAAAAAUAAAGAAAAAGAAGACGAAAUUUCCA